UGAAAAGAAAAUAAUCUGUAAUCUGGUCGGUAAGACCUUUGCCCAGUGACAGAGUGUAUGAUAAACUAGGGCUAUGAAAAUAACUUAAGUGGCUCUAGUCUUGCAUGAAGACCAUUGAAACACAACACAAACCCUGUAAUAAAUGCCAGGAUUCAAACAUUAAAUAUCAAUGAAGAAUGUUACCAUUGUAUAACACGGAGGUGUGCACCCUUUUGCACUCCAGAUGUU